CGCGGCCUAUCAGCUUGUUGGUGGGGUAGUGGCUUACCAAGGCUUUGACGGGUAGCCGGCCUGAGAGGGUGACCGGCCACAUUGGGACUGAGAUACGGCCCAGACUCCUACGGGAGGCAGCAGUGGGGAAUAUUGCACAAUGGGCGGAAGCCUGAUGCAGCAACGCCGCGUGCGGGAUGACGGCCUUCGGGUUGUAAACCGCUUUCGCCUGUGACGAAGCGUGAGUGACGGUAAUGGGUAAAGAAGCACCGGCUAACUACGUGCCAGCAGCCGCGGUGAUACGUAGGGUGCGAGCGUUGUCCGGAUUUAUUGGGCGUAAAGGGCUCGUAGGUGGUUGAUCGCGUCGGAAGUGUAAUCUUGGGGCUUAACCCUGAGCGUGCUUUCGAUACGGGUUGACUUGAGGAAGGUAGGGGAGAAUGGAAUUCCUGGUGGAGCGGUGGAAUGCGCAGAUAUCAGGAGGAACACCAGUGGCGAAGGCGGUUCUCUGGGCCUUUCCUGACGCUGAGGAGCGAAAGCGUGGGGAGCGAACAGGCUUAGAUACCCUGGUAGUCCACGCUGUAAACGGUGGGUACUAGGCGUGGGGUCCAUUCCACGGGUUCCGUGCCGUAGCUAACGCUUUAAGUACCCCGCCUGGGGAGA
rnacentral:rRNA from 1 species